UGUUCAUACCCACAUUUAAUAAAACUCCACCCACAGUGCAUUUGCGUAGCAGUGAAAAAACCGGUAUUUUCUAUAUGAAUGAAUCAC
rnacentral:sRNA from 1 species